UGGGGAAUAUUGGACAAUGGGCGAAAGCCUGAUCCAGCCAUGCCGCGUGUGUGAAGAAGGUCUUCGGAUUGUAAAGCACUUUAAGUUGGGAGGAAGGGCAGUAAGCGAAUACCUUGCUGUUUUGACGUUACCGACAGAAUAAGCACCGGCUAACUCUGUGCCAGCAGCCGCGGUAAUACAGAGGGUGCGAGCGUUAAUCGGAUUUACUGGGCGUAAAGCGUGCGUAGGCGGCUAAUUAAGUCAAAUGUGAAAUCCCCGGGCUUAACUUGGGAAUUGCAUUCGAUACUGGUUAGCUAGAGUGUGGGAGAGGAUGGUAGAAUUCCAGGUGUAGCGGUGAAAUGCGUAGAGAUCUGGAGGAAUACCGAUGGCGAAGGCAGCCAUCUGGCCUAACACUGACGCUGAGGUGCGAAAGCAUGGGGAGCAAACAGG
rnacentral:rRNA from 1 species